rnacentral:rRNA from 1 species
GACGAACGCUGGCGGCGUGCCUAAUACAUGCAAGUAGAACGCUGAAGAGAGGAGCUUGCUCUUCUUGGAUGAGUUGCGAACGGGUGAGUAACGCGUAGGUAACCUGCCUUGUAGCGGGGGAUAACUAUUGGAAACGAUAGCUAAUACCGCAUAACAAUGGAUGACACAUGUCAUUUAUUUGAAAGGGGCAAUUGCUCCACUACAAGAUGGACCUGCGUUGUAUUAGCUAGUAGGUGAGGUAAUGGCUCACCUAGGCGACGAUACAUAGCCGACCUGAGAGGGUGAUCGGCCACGCUGGGACUGAGACACGGCCCAGACUCCUACGGGAGGCAGCAGUAGGGAAUCUUCGGCAAUGGGGGCAACCCUGACCGAGCAACGCCGCGUGAGUGAAGAAGGUUUUCGGAUCGUAAAGCUCUGUUGUAAGUCAAGAACGGGUGUGAGAGUGGAAAGUUCACACUGUGACGGUAGCUUACCAGAAAGGGACGGCUAACUACGUG